rnacentral:rRNA from 1 species
UACGAACCGUGCAAACGUUAUUCGGAAUUACUGGGCAUAAAGCGCACGUAGGCGGUCUGUAUAGUCAGAGGUGAAAUCCUCCAGCUUAACCUGGGAACUGCAUUUGAUACUGACGGUCUUGAGUCUGGUAGGGGAGGGUGGAAUUGCUGGUGUAGCGGUGAAAUGCGUAGAUAUCAGCAGGAAUUCCGGUGGCGAAGGCGACCCCCUGGACGAUGACUGACGCUCAGGUGCGAAAGCGUGGGGAGCAAACGGG